GUAGAGAUCACAGGAGCUGGAGCCGGGACAGGAGGAGAGCUGCAGCGAGAGAGACAGCGGGAGAGUGAGAGAGGGUGAGAAGAAAAAGCAUCAAGAGAAGAAAGACUGAUCAGCACAUCAAUAAAGAGCAAAAUGAUGGUCAUCAUCAUAACAAUGGCAAUAAAAGAAGAAAAUAUAAAUAAAGGAAAGAAAAUAUAAAAUAACAAUAAUUAUUAUUAUAAUAAAGGAGAAAAUCCCAGAGAAAUUCAGGGAAUGAAAGUUUUGGGCGGCAAACCUGCUCUCUGCCUUUUUGAUAUCAGAUCCUUUUGCUGGUCAUAAUUUUUUUUUCAUUUUUUUCUGCCUUUUUUGCAUCUAAAGAGGGCAUGUCCAGCGGUUCCUCCAGCAGCAUCCACCCCUCCUGCUCCCAUCAGGAAGGCAAACCGAGGACAAUCUUGAAAUAUACAAAUUUCCUCUUUGGGAUUUGCUGCUGCUGCCUCCACUGCCGCUGCAGCGGUGCAGUGCCAAGACUCUCGGAAUAAAUAAGAGCGGGCUACUGUGUAUACUGUGUGUAUAUCUAUCUCCAUACAGCUCUAGGUAUUAUUAGUUGGUCAUUUAUUUCGAAGAUCACAGAUGAGGUGGGGACGCCUAUCUUCUUCGUUUGCUCGGCGUGUGAAAUAAUCAUAAAAGGAGGGAAAUGGGGGAGAAAAAAAUCCUAAUAUGAAGCAGAAGGAAUAAUAAUAAUAAUAAUAAUUAAUAAAAAACCUAGAUCUAAAUCCCACUCAGAUCCCCCUCCCUCCACGCACGCACACUGCCCUAAGUAUUUUGAGAGGAGGAGGUGGUGGUUUCUGAAGGAGGAAGUGGUGUUGGGGGGGGAUCUCUUUCCCCAUUUGGAGAUGAUUGUGCUAUUCCUCCUUGCCUUGCUCUGGAUGGUGGAGGGAGCCCUUUCUCAGCUUCACUACACGGUGCAAGAGGAGCAGGAGCAUGGCACGUUCGUGGGGAAUAUCGCCGAGGACCUGGGCUUGGACAUUACAAAACUUUCGGCUCGCCGCUUCCAGACGGUACCCAACUCUCGGAGCCCUUACCUAGAGCUCAACCUGGAGACUGGGGUGCUGUACGUGAACGAGAAGAUCGACCGGGAGCAGAUCUGCAAGCAGAACCCCCCCUCCUGCCAGCUGCACCUGGAGGUCUUUUUGGAGAACCCCCUGGAGCUGUUCCGGGUGGAGAUCGAGGUGCUGGACAUCAACGACAAUCCGCCCUCCUUCCCGGAGCCCGACCUGACCGUGGAGAUCUCCGAGAGCGCCACGCCAGGCACUCGCUUCCCACUGGAGAGCGCCUUCGACCCGGACGUGGGCACCAACUCGCUGCGCACCUACGAGAUCACCCCCAACAGCUACUUCUCGCUGGACGUGCAGACCCAGGGCGACGGCAACCGCUUCGCCGAGCUGGUGCUGGACAAGCCCCUGGACCGCGAGCAGCAGGCGGUGCACCGCUACGUGCUGACAGCGGUGGACGGGGGCCAACCCCAGCAGCGCACCGGCACCGCCCUGCUCACCAUCAGGGUGCUGGACUCCAAUGACAACGUGCCCGCCUUCGAGCAGCCCGUCUACACAGUGUCCCUGCCAGAGAACUCGCCGCCGGGCACCCUGGUGCUGCAGCUCAACGCCAGCGAUCCGGACGAGGGCCAGAACGGCGAGGUCAUCUAUUCCUUCAGCAGCCACAUCUCGGCGCGGGCCCGGGAGCUCUUCGGCAUCUCGCCGCGCACGGGGCGGCUGGAGGUGAGCGGCGAGCUGGACUACGAGGAGAGCAGCGUGUACCAGGUGUACGUGCAAGCCAAGGACCUGGGCCCCAACGCCGUGCCCGCCCACUGCAAGGUGCUGGUGCGGGUGCUGGACGCCAACGACAACCCGCCCGAGAUCAGCUUCUCCACCGUCAAGGAGGCGGUGAGCGAGGCGGCCUCGCCGGGCACGGUGGUGGCCCUGUUCAGCGUCUCGGACCGGGACUCGGAGGAGAACGGGCAGGUGCAGUGCGAGCUCCUACAGGGCGACGCGCCCUUCCGCCUCAAGAGCUCCUUCAAGAACUACUACACCAUCGUCACCGAGGGGCCGCUAGACCGCGAGCAGCCGGGCGGCGACGCCUAUACCCUCACGGUGGUGGCGCGGGACAUGGGCGAGCCGGCGCUGAGCACCAGCAAGUCCAUCCAGGUGCGGGUGAGCGACGUGAACGACAACGCGCCGCGCUUCAGCCAGCCCCUCUACCAGGUCUAUGUGAGCGAGAACAACGUGCCGGGCGCCUACAUCUACGCCGUGAGCGCCACCGACCGGGACCAGGGCGCCAACGCCCAGCUCGCCUACUCCAUCCUGGAGAGCCAGAUCCAGGGCAUGUCCGUCUUCACCUACGUCUCCAUCAACGCCGAGAACGGCUUCCUCUACGCCCUGCGCUCCUUCGACUACGAGCAGCUCAAGGAGUUCAGCUUCCAGGUGGAGGCGCGCGACGCGGGCGAGGAGCCCCAGCCCCUGUCCGGCAACGCCACGGUCAGCAUCAUCGUGGUGGACCAGAACGACAACGCGCCCGCCAUCGUCAGCCCCCUGCCCGGCCGCAACGGCACCCCGGCCCGGGAGGUGCUGCCGCGCAGCGCCGAGCCCGGCUACUUGGUGAGCCGGGUGGCUGCGGUGGACGCGGACGACGGGGAGAACGCGCGCCUCACCUACAGCAUCGCGCGGGGCAACGAGGCCAGCCUCUUCCGCAUGGACUGGCGCACCGGGGAGCUGCGCACCGCGCGCAAGGUGCCGGCCAAGCGCGACCCCCAGCGGCCCUUCGAGCUGGUGAUCGAGGUGCGGGACCACGGGCAGCCGCCGCUCUCCUCCACCACCGCCAUCCAGGUGAUGCUGGUGGACAGCGCGGUGGAGCGCCAAGGAGGCGGCGGCCUGGGCGCGGGGGGUGGCGGCGGUGGGGGAGGGGCGGGAGGGGAGCAUCGCCCCAGCCGCUCCGGGGGCGAGACCUCGCUGGACCUGACCCUCAUCCUGAUCAUCGCCCUGGGCUCCGUGUCGUUCAUUUUCCUGCUGGCCAUGAUCGUGCUGGCCGUGCGCUGCCAAAAGGAGAAGAAGCUCAACAUCUACACCUGCCUGGCCAGCGACUGCUGCCUGGGUUGCUGCUGCUGCUGCCCCUGCUGCAGCCGCCAAGCCCGGGCCCGCAAGAAGAAGCUGAGCAAGUCGGACAUCAUGCUGGUGCAGAGCUCCAACGUACCCAGUAACCCGGCCCAGGUCCCCGUGGAGGAAUCGGGCAGCUUCGGAUCCCACCAUCACAACCAGAACUACUGCUACCAGGUCUGCCUCACUCCGGAGUCAGCCAAGACCGACCUGAUGUUCCUCAAGCCCUGCAGCCCAUCUCGGAGCACAGACACUGAGCACAACCCCUGCGGAGCCAUAGUGACAGGUUACACGGACCAGCAACCAGACAUCAUCUCCAAUGGCAGCAUAUUGUCCAACGAGACAAAACAUCAGCGUGCAGAGCUCAGUUAUCUAGUUGAUAGACCCCGACGGGUAAACAGUUCUGCAUUCCAGGAAGCAGACAUAGUAAGCUCUAAGGACAGUGGUCAUGGAGACAGCGAGCAAGGAGACAGUGAUCAUGAUGCCACUAAUCGAGGUCAAUCCUCUGGCAUGGAUCUCUUCUCCAAUUGCACAGAGGAAUGUAAAGCGCUGGGCCACUCGGAUCGAUGCUGGAUGCCCUCCUUUGUCGCAUCCGAUGGACGCCAGGCUGCAGAUUAUCGCAGCAAUCUGCAUGUGCCCGGUAUGGACUCUGUUCCAGACACUGAAGUGUUUGAAACACCAGAAACCCAGCCUGGAACAGAGAGGUCCUUUUCCACCUUCGGCAAGGAGAAGGCCCUUCACAAUACUCUGGAGAGGAAGGAGUUGGAUGGACUGCUGACUAAUACACGAGCGCCUUACAAACCACCAUAUUUGACAGCAGAACAGGCACAACAUGGACAGCGGCAAUGUAAGGCAGGAACUAACCAAGCUUAGCUACACUAUUCACCAAUGUGCCUCAACCUGGACCUGGAGUCUCCCUACAUUUAUAAUCUUUGACCACGAUUGUUAUGAUUUUGUUUGAUAUGAACUCCAGGGCUCCCGUCCUGCAAAGACUUAGGUACAUGCUUAACUUUGCAUGCAUGUAGCUUAACUUCCCAUUGAAGUCAACAGAAUUGCUCUUAUGCAUCAAGUUAAGUAUAUGCAUAUAUCUUUGAAGAACUGAUUGCCUAGGAACUGGACUAUCAACUAAUCUCAAACAAGCUACCAAAGAACAAUAAUAAGCGCGGAAAAGGAUAUGCUAGUCAAUUCUACAGGACUUACCUGAAGCAGCAUGAUUUGCACAAAAGUCGACCAACAAAAAGCAUCAACUUUUCAACUUCAUUAUCUUGGCCAUCCAGUUCUAUGUAACUGAAAGAUUUGUGUGCUGUUGGAGACAUCAUGGCCAACAAUAGGACCUAAUUGCUCUCAGCAGGCCUGAGAAAUGAGUUGAAAUGUGUGGAACUGUAGAAACUUCAGAGGCAACUGAUCUUGCCUUUCUGAUCAGUGUGUGCCUGUUUACAGCACUAUAUAUCUUUCUCUCUCCAAAAUGUCACUGAGCCCUUUAGAUGUUUAUAUUCACCACAAGAAGCCAAUCGUACAGAUAAAAGAAAUGUGCAUUAUAAAUGCAAUAUCACUGUUUUAAACUUGACUGUUUUAUAUUAUUUUUGUGUGAUCAAGUGUUCCCCAAACUAUCCCAACUUUACAAGAGAGAUUGUGAUCAUAAUCUUUUCACCUGUGGGUCAUAAAAAUGUUGUUAAUCUGCAGACCCACAAAAUAUCAAAGACAUUCUGUAGUUUAUACACGUGUUGCAAAGUGUUUACUGUACUAUUUCAAAGCUUCUAAAUAAAUAUAAAAUAUAUAUAUAUUAUAUUAUAUAUAAUUUUCCGAAAAAUGUGGUACAAUUUAGUUGAUUUUUAAAUGGAUUCAUAUAGUCCAAACCAUACACUAAAGUGAGAAGGUAAUUCAGGGUCCCUAAGUUAUCCUUGCUAAAAAAAAAAUAAAUCUUUAAUAAUAUUUCCCCAA